rnacentral:rRNA from 1 species
UACGUAGGGGGCAAGCGUUGUCCGGAUUUAUUGGGCGUAAAGAGCGUGUAGGCGGUUAGGUAGGUCCGUUGUGAAAACUCGAGGCUCAACCUCGAGACGCCGAUGGAAACCAUCUGACUAGAGUCCGGAAGAGGAGAGUGGAAUUCCUGGUGUAGCGGUGGAAUGCGUAGAGAUCCGGAAGAACACCGGUGGCGAAGGCGGUGAGCUGGGCAGUUGCUGACACUGAGGCGCGACAGCGUGGGGAGCAAACAGG